UUUUGGGUCUGUCUGCUCCAUCCUUCCUGCACUUCACAGGAGGCAACCAUGAGCUCUGUGUCUCAUCUGCACCUGGGAGAGAGAGAGGCACAUGGCUCCAAACAAUUCUGUGAAAAAGCCUCUGCGUCCUGCGUGUUGAGCCAUUUGCAGGACAUCCCAAUGCCCAGCAGUGAACUCUGCCAGCUAAUUUUAAACACAACCCUGAGCCGCUGCUGCAGCCCCUCCAUGGCUCUCAAUCGGAUUGUGAGGGCAGCGCCUGGGACUUGCCGGACUCUCUGUCCUCCGGGCUCUUUCAGGACCCGUCCCCUUCAAUCUCUCCGUGCCCCCUUCUCAUACUCAUGGGUCCCUCCAGUCCUCGUAGGGUCUCCUUCCUACAUUUCCGUCAAACUUCUCGAAAUCACAUCCGCUACCUGCAGCUUCUCACCGUCCCCCUGCACUCUGCCUCUUGCCAUCUGGUGUCCACCUAGAACUCAGUAGAAAUUGCUGGGGAGGGAAGAGAUGGGAAGGACAUCUUCUUUCAAGAGCCAGUUCCUCCUCCACCAUCUGGACACACCCAGGGUGCUUGACACCUGGAGGAUAAACAUCUUCCAGCCUGGACUCCCAGGACUCCAGGACCAUGAGCUUCCUGCUGGGGCAGCCAGAGGCCCAGCUGUCCAGACCCAGGGGUCUUCUUCAGGCAGGUCAAGAAGCAAAGGGGAGGAUGAAGAACAGGAGGUGGGAGGCGGGUCACCUCUGGUUGGAGCUGUGCCAAGUGGCCUAAAGGACAGACUUUUCUUCCAGCUCCCCUGAGACCCCUGUUCAGCACUGUCACCUGAAGACUUGGCUGUGCACUGCUGAUGGCCCCCUGCGCCAUCUUGUUUCUCUCUGAGGUGCCCCAGCAACUCUGCAAAUGACCCAGCAGGACCAACUUCCUGGUCCCAAGGCUGUUGGAUGGAGCUUAGGAGAGAGGGUAGAUGGAGCAUCGCUCAUCUGGACACCUCAGAAGGGGCAGACAGCAGCACGCAGAGUGCCAAAGGGGAAGAGAUGCGGAGCAAAGAACUGGAAACUUCUCAGGCAUUCACAUUGGCAACUCCUGUUCCAAGAAUAAUUAUUUAUGACAGAUUUCAAUUUUCGGGGCAGGGAUGGUGUCUUACUCAUCCUGGGCUUCAGGACAUCUGUGUAACAGACGCUCCAGGUGAAGCAGUGAUGUCAACCCUGGCUGAACACUGGAAUCACCUGGGAAGAUCAAAAAGCAACACCUCCUGCAUCUAGGUGAAAACCCAAAGCAGGCUGGUUCUUCUUGCCGGCUUCCUCCCAGACCCGUGCCUGGCCGGGGAGGGGCCACACUUGGAGAAUUCCUGCUAUAGAUGGGUCAACAUCCGGGAGUGGUGUUUCUCUCAGGACAGAAUGAGCUAAAGGAGAGAAACUCUACCUGAGAAAAACAGGAAAAGAGGAAACUUGAGACAACUCAGAGCUUGGGUUCCUUUAGUAGCAGUACUCUUUUGUUUCUCAGGUCGAUCAGCUACAGUGUGGCAAAUACAAAGCAAAAAAAAAAAAUUCACUUCUGUGAAUUGUGCUGUGAUGAACACACCAUGCAUGCGUCUUUACAGUAGAACAAUGAAUAUUCCUUUGGGUAUAUGCCCAAUAAUAGGAUUGCUGGG